rnacentral:rRNA from 1 species
UAUUAAUAAAAUUGUUUUAUAUAUGUUUAUUUUGUUAAUCUUAAUUAAGUAAAUUUAAGUUAUUGUAGAAUGAAUUGAUUAAAUUAUUUUUACUAUAGUAAAUUAGUACUGUGAAGGAAAUUAUGAAUGUAUAGUUAUAAUUAAUAAAAGGUAAUUUUAUUUAUUGUAUCUUGUGUAUCAGAGUAUAUUUAAAUGGAUUAUACAGUUUUGUUUCUCGAAUUUAAAAGAUUUAAUUGAAAGUAUUAAUUAUUGUUUCAUAAUUAUUAAUAAUUUUUAAUUGGUAAUGAAAUGUUAUUCGUUUUUGAGGAUAUCUAGUUUUUUAAUAAAUGAAUUUAAUUCAGAAGAUAUAAUUUAUUAAAUAAUUUAUUAUUUGAAUAUUUUAUGUUUUUAAUUUUAAAAGGGAUAAGCUUUUUAAAAUAUAAUUAUAAUAAUAUGAAAUGGAAAGGAUUUUAUAAAUUUAGAAUUUGUUAGUGAUUAAAGGAUGUUAAAAUUUAAUUCUUUAUUUAAAUGAUUUAAAGUUUUUAUUUAAUUUUUAUAUUGAAAUGUUGAGUUUAAUUAAGAAAUUUUAGAAAAUAUGAUUUAAUUAGUAAAAUUUUGAUUUAUUUUAUUAAAUUGAUUGAUGUGUUGAUAUGAAGAAUUAGGCAAAAAUUUUGCUCACCUGUUUAUUAAAAACAUGGUUUCUUGUAUUUAUUUAGGAGAUUUGACCUGCCCACUGAAACAAUUUUGAAGGGCCGCAGUAUAUUGACUGUGCAAAGGUAGCAUAAUCAUUAGUCUUUUAAUUGAAGGCUGGUAUGAAUGGUUGGAUGAGGUGAAUUCUGUUUUAUAUUAAUUUAUAUUGAAUUUAGAUUUUAAGUAAAAAUACUUAAAUUAUAUUAAGGGACGAGAAGACCCUAUAGAGUUUAAUAAAUGUAUUAAUUAAUUGAGUUAAAAAUAUAAUUUUUGAUUAUUAAAAAAAUUUAUUUAAUUGGGGUGAUUAGAAGAUAAAUUUAACUCUUCUUUAUUUUUAAUAACAUAUAAUUAGUUAUUUGAUCCAUAUUUAAUGAUUAUGAGAUUAAAUUACCUUAGGGAUAACAGCAUAAUUCUUUUUGAGAGUUCAUAUCGAGAAAGGAGAUUGUGACCUCGAUGUUGGAUUAAGAUUAGUUUUGGGUGUAGAUGUUCAAUAACUAGGUCUGUUCGACCUUGAAAAUCUUACAUGAUCUGAGUUUAAACCGGCGUGAGCCAGGUUGGUUUCUAUCUUUAAUUGAUUUAAAUAUUUUAGUACGAGAGGACCAAGUAUUUAAAAUAAUUUUUGUUUUAAGAGAGUAUUAUUAAUUGA